AUUGAACGCUGGCGGCAGGCUUAACACAUGCAAGUCGAGCGGAGAUGAGGUGCUUGCACCUUAUCUUAGCGGCGGACGGGUGAGCAAUGCUUAGGAAUCUGCCUAUUAGUGGGGGACAACAUUCCGAAAGGAAUGCUAAUACCGCAUACGUCCUACGGGAGAAAGCAGGGGAUCUUCGGACCUUGCGCUAAUAGAUGAGCCUAAGUCGGAUUAGCUAGUUGGUGGGGUAAAGGCCUACCAAGGCGACGAUCUGUAGCGGGUCUGAGAGGAUGAUCCGCCAGACUGGGACCGAGACACGGCCCAGACUCCUACGGGAGGCAGCAGUGGGGAAUAUUGGACAGUGGGGGGAACCCUGAUCCAGCCAUGCCGCGUGUGUGAAGAAGGCCUUAUGGUUGUAAAGCACUUUAAGCGAGGAGGAGGCUACUGAGACUAAUACUCUUGGAUAGUGGACGUUACUCGCAGAAUAAGCACCGGCUAACUCUGUGCCAGCAGCCGCCGUAA
rnacentral:rRNA from 1 species